rnacentral:lncRNA from 1 species
GUUGUGCAGCAAUAAAUAGCUAAUAUACAAUAUUUCCACUGAGAAGUUAACUGUUAUUUUGAACUCUGAAUCUCAUAUAGACCAGUGUUCACUUUAUCUUACUCUCUCUCUCUCCUCUCUCUCACUCUCUGUCUCUGAAAUUUCUUCAGAUUUUUUAUUUGUUUCUGGUGCUCUUACUUUUCACAAUGUUGGAACUUAUUGAUGGUUCUGUCUGUGUCUAUUGGGCUGGACAUGCUUUAGGAUCUUUUAUAACCUGUACUCAGUUUGAGUAGUUUCUUGGGUUGAUUCCGUUUUGAUUUUCUCAUUUCUUUGGAAAUUUAUAAUUUUAAAAUUUUGGACCACUGAGAACAUUUUUAAAUUGUCUUAAUCUAACUUUCCACUUCUAUUCUUUUGCCUAUUCUUCUUAGAUAAUUUUUACACUUUAUUUUCAAGCCCUUCUAUUAAUAUUUUUAUUUCUGCUGUGUUAUUUCUAAGACUUACAGAUUUUAUAAUGCUAUUUUUUAGCAUCUCUCCUAUUUUGUGGAUAUGUCAUCUUUUCUCUCUGAAUAUGAUAAUGAGGCUUUCAUUUGUUUUCUAAGUUUUUAUAUCCCUAGGUAUUUACUGUUUUGAUAAUUUUUUCUUCCCUGUUUGUUUGCUUUGCUUUUUUCUUCCAAGAUAAAGCCUGGAAGCUGCACGUCACCUGCCAGCUUUGUGUGUGCCCAGUGAGUGCAGGUGGCAUAAUGACCAGCGGUGACUUGAAUGACAAGGGGACAGAACAGCUGGACAAUCCAAUUCCUAGAUGCUUUCUCCAGUUAUGGCCCUGACUGGGAUCUCCGAAGAAUGACUCAGCUGAAACUGUCAAUUUCAUCAUUGCCUACAUUUGUCUUCAGACGACCUGCAGUACAAACUUGGCUUAAACCUGCAGUUGACAAUGCUGAAUCUCCAUGUGCUCUCUCUCUCUUCUAACAUCAAUGCAGCUCCUGGUAUGUGGUCGUUCUCAGGCCCAAAGGCCCAUUUUGCUUUUGGCUGCAACUCUGUAACUCUGUAACAGAGACCAAGUGCCUGCAGGGAGCAGAUGUUUGGGGCAGUAUCUGCUAAGGUGGCUUUGCUGAAACUUGUUUCUCUCAUUGGGUCUUGGAAGUGGCGAAUAGGACGUUCCUAUAGAAAAACUCAGAAAGAUAAUGAAGCUGCUAUUUGCAAGAACUGCAUCUGUCUGACUCUCAGACAGAUCUACACCAGUGUUUAGCAGACAUGCCAAAUGAUAAGAGUCAAUCACAGCCUCUGUAGAAAAUACUGGAACCCUGAUGUGGACUUACUGAAUCAGAAUCUCCAGGCAAUAAGCUUGAGAUUCUCUGAGACUGUGAAAGAUAAUCUUAAAGAGGCACUCACGAAACACAAGCUCCUUCUCCGGGAAAAAGAAUCAUCACCCUUGUUAUCCCAUGAAAAUUCAUCUUCUCCUUUUCAGCUGAUAUGAGGACUUGAUCUGUCCUUUCCUAUAAGUGCCAUCUGUGUUUAAAUGAGGCUGUUACUCUAACUCAAAGCAGACUUGCAAGAGUAAAAUAAUCAAUCUUCAUCAUAUUGCUGCACUUUCGACAGUUAAUUUUCUAGAGUAAUUUGUCAUUGUGAGGAGCAUAAGAUUUGUCUGAAUUUGUGUCAAAGGUUAUUGACUGAAUUGCCACCUCAUCUUUUCAGUCAAUCUAUAAAUAUGGGCAAGUUUGGGCAGAGGCUAAUGGCCUUCUCACUAAGGGGAUGAGAUUGUCCAAGUUAGGCAACUGAUAAGAGGUAGAAAUAUCUAUUGUGUCACCCAUUUCUUGUGGUAGCAUUGACUUAGAGUUAAUCUCAGAAACUUCACUUAACCUUCUUAAUCCUUUUCUUCCUGUAAAACAAGGCUAAAAAUUGUCAUAACUAUAUUCUAGUUUCCACAAAAGCUAAUCUAAGUAUUAAAAUUUUUAUUGUGACUUUGUGAGAGUGAUCCUGUAUUUUUCACAAAACUAAGAAGAAAAUAUUUUUAUUUAGUGUUUUUCUAUGAAUAGCUUUUGGUUUUUGGAAAAACCAUCUGAUCUUUAUUACUAAGAUUCUUGCUUCUUAGGUCAAAUUCUUGUUCCCUGUCUUUAUAUAGAGUCUAAUAUUGGGAACAUACCCAAGGACCACAUGGAUAAUUUUAUGAUGCUUGCUGACUAUUAUGUUUCUUGCCCACUUUAAUAGCCUAAUAAUAAUAGUUACGAAUUCUUAUUGAGAAAUAGCCAUUCUUAAUCAAUGCCAAUGACAGUGUUUCCUCUUUCAGACUGAAGGAAAAACAGGGAGAAAACCAGUUCAUAUAUUAUGGUUAAACACUGAUAAAACAUUUUGGUUAAAUAUCUGCCUUCAUGGGUUAUUGCAAAAUAGAUUAGUUUAAAGCUCAUCUAGCCCUGAAAUAUACAGUUAGAUUAUUUUUUAUGGAUUUCAAUUAUUUUUAUUUCAUUACAGUUAUUUUUUUUUCAAUACAUGGCCUGUUUGAAGAUACAUCAUAGUAAUGGUAACAGCAGCAACCACUGCAGUAAAUAACUGACAAUUGCUGAACAAUUCAUGUCUGCCAUGCCAUGCUAUGAGGGCCUUAAGGAAUAAAUACAACUUAUAUUCAUAAUAAACAUAGGAGGUUGUAGAAGGCUAAAUAAUGGGUCACCAAAGAUACCCACAUCCCAUAAUUCCUGUAACUGGUGACUAUGUUACCUUGCAUGGUAGAAGGGAUUUUGCAGUUGAGGUUAAGGUUAAAGACUUUAUAAAGGCAGAUUAUCUUGGAUUAUCUGGGUGGGUCUUUAAAAGCGGAAGAGAAAAGCAGAAAAGCAAGUCAGACAGACAGAUGCAACUACAGAAGAGACAGUAGGGACUCAACUCAAAUGACUAACUUUGAAGAUGGAGGAGGUGGUCCAUGAGGCAAGGAAUGCACUUGCUUCUAGAAGCUGGGAAUAACCCACAGCUAGAAGCAAAGUAGGAAAUGGAAGUCUCAAUUCUACAUCGUAAGGAAGUGAAUUCUGCCAAUAACUUGAAAGAGAAGGAAAUAGAUUCCCUCCAGAGGCUCUAGAAAAUAAUGUAUCCCUGCUGACACCUUAAUUUGAUUUGAGCCCCAUGAGACCCACGUUGGACUUCUGACUUAUGGAGCUUGUAAGAUAAUAAAUUUGCAUUGUUUCAGCCACUACAUUUGUGGAAAUUUGUUACAACCACAAUAGGAAACUCAUAGAAUAGUAAUCACUAGUAAUAUCUUCAUUUAACAGUUGAGGAAAUUGAGGCAGGACAACACAAGUUAUAAAAAUUAUCUCAGUUCUUAGUAGAGUUCCUGGCAUAUGACAAGCAGUUAAUGUCUUUGUAGAAUGAAUGAAUGAAUAAAUAAAUAGAUUUUUUCUUAUGCUUUCCCAAA